ensembl:lncRNA
GAUAACAGUGUUACUGGGAGGAGCAGGGAGAUAACAGUGUUACUGGGAGGAGCAGGGAGGUAAUACUGUUACUGGGAGGAGCAGGUUGAUAACAGUGUUACUGGGAGGAGCAGGGAGGUAAUACUGUUACUGGGAGGAGGAGGUCGAUAACAGUGUUACUGGGAGGAGCAGGGGGGGCAAUCGUUUUACUGGGAGGAGCAGGGGGGUACCAGAGUCUCUGGACAGUUACUGGGAGGACAGAGUUACUGGGAGGACAGAGUUACUGGGAGCAGCAGGGAUUAUAAAUAACCGCCCAUGGGACGACGUGCCCCAGGCCCUCAGAUUCCCACGCAGGGGAAAUAGAGCCGGCAGCAGAACCUAAACGGUUGCUGCUGUCCUUCUGAACAUGAGUAAAAUUAGCAGCGCAAGAAACCGUUUGGACAUUUGAUCCCUCUCCGUGACACGGUCUACAUGCAUGCCGUGAGCAUGUUGUUGCGAUGCUGUUAAUAGCUUUAUAAACCACCGGCUUAUAUUUGUAGUUUAUGAAACAAUUUUUAGUGUUUGUGUGUUGUCUUCAAAUGUUAGCUGGCCAUUUCACUGAAGUUGACACUGAUGAAGAGACGGUGCUUCAUGCAUUUGACACAAAAAUAUUUUUAAUCCUACACGUCACAGACAGGAUGUGCUUCAGUGGACCCUGGGGGCUAGCCUAGCAUUGCUUGCAUGAUUUAUCCGCUGUUGACAUUCUCAUGUUGUUUUAAAUUAGAUUAUACCCGUUUAUUAUUUAUUCUACCAAGACACUGCCUUGUGGUCCACAUUAAAACCCUAACAUGUUGUCCGUUGACAGUAGCAGACAAAGACAGAGUUUUUCCUUUGUUUUGUUGUCGUCAACGUUUCAAGGCUUAAUGGUGCUAUCCAUUUGUAUGGUACGCCGGUACGUCCGACCUGCUUUAGCGAGAAGGUGACAUAAUUUCCUGGCUUGCAGCACUUAUAGCAUUCCCGUUUCUCAUUGGCUAGUCAUUGUUAUUGUUAGCUAUAUUAGCCUCUUCAGCAAACCAGCUAGAAAACAGCUACACAACUUUAAAUUGUAUUGCACGCACAGCAAGACCGUGCAAUGCAUAUAUUGUUGAUCGGAAUGGCGUAGUAAUGUGAUCAAAUCUGUGAGAGCAUUUAAGAUCUAUAUUAAAAUGUUUUUUUUUACGGUCGCGGCCAUUUUUGUUGUCGAGUCGUACAUGCAGCAUUUUACGGAGGCCCCCUUUUGGUCGAGCGCACUCGGAAUUCUGAGAGUAUACCGAGUUCAGUAAUGAAGCUCUCAACAAAAAUGGCUGCGGCCAUAAAGAGAUUUGGUUUUUGUUUUUUGUACCACGUUGCUCAUUUUAAUGUCACACACUUGAUUACAUUGCUACUUUCUUCCGGUCACCAAUUUAUGCAUUGCACGGUCUUGCUGUGCGUGCCAUACAAUGUAAAGUUGUGUUGUUUGUUUUCGGAAGGCUGGUGUCCGAGGCAUCUGGAUCACAGCAUUACACCUGACUUCAGUGCACUUGUUUAAACCCAUCAGAGACGGCUCCUCCCUUUGAGAACACAUUUUUUUGUGUGGGUUGUAAUGCCUACCCUACAUUAUCAAAUGUGGAUGCACGUCAAUACACCUGUUCAAGUUCAGUGCACUGGGUACAGAUAAUGAUAGGUUUAAAAAUAUAUAUUCUAUAUGUCGAACCGCAUUUACCCAACGUGUUGAUGUAGGCAACCGACUGGACCAGUUAUAGACCACAGUUGGUCACAAAAGCAACUAAGGGACCAAACAGUAACCAGUUAUAGGCCCUAUUACAAUUGGAUUUCUUGAAUCUUGAAUGAUACCAGCUACUACUAUUCGAUUUCUCAAAUAUUCUUCAGCCUAAUUCCUUUCAAUGUAGCCUACCUUAUUUAACCCCUCUUAGUUUUAAUGGAUUUGAUCCGAUUAGUUCAUAACCAGUUUACCUCCUUCAUCUUCGUAUGUCAUUCAUUAGUUCAACUGUAGUUAUUGUAGUCGUUGGUUACAGCAGGGUUAAAUGAAGCAUACUGUGACGCAAAUAAGCACAUAAACUGUUAUGUCCGCACAUAGCCACAAGGGAGCAGGACCAAGCAUAUAAACUGGAAGCAGGAGGCGGGUGCUCAACACCAUAGCCAAUCAGAGCGCGUACCACAUCAUAGCGCCUGCUCAGUAUCUAACAGAGAGCGCAACCCAGAACAGAUCAGACACUCUAGAGCAGGGGUCUCAAACUCAAUUUACCUGGGGGCCGCUGGAGGUAGAGUCUGGGUCAGGCUGGGCCGCAUCAAGUAUUCCAUAAGAAAAAGGAGCACAACUGGCCCAAUCGAAGUUAAUGAUCGGGCUAUAAUUAGAACACGUUGGCUAUUAAAUCGCUGACAACAGGGGACAGUUCAUAGCGGUUGGUGGAAAUUGGGACAUUUUAACGUCCUUUGGCUUUUUGGGACUCAGGACACGCAACUCAAAAUUGGGACUGUCCUGGCAAAACCAGGACAUCUGGUCACCCUAUCACAAGUGAUAAAAAAGCGUGGCAAGCCCUAUAUGUCUUUGAAAACAAUGGACGGGCCACACUAACACUAAACUUUGAUGUCAAGUAGGGGGCCACAAAAUAUCAUCCCGCGGGCCUCAAUUGGCCCCCGGGCCACGAGUUUGAGACCCCUGCUCUAGAGGCUACUGAGCUAGCACUGGGAGUGAGCCGCUACGAGCAACCAUAGACUAGAGGCUACUGAGCUAGCAUGAGCCUGUAGGGCUGGCAUGGUUUCUGGGUAGUGUCAUUAUCUAUCUCGCAAUACAGAAAAUAAACAUUACAAUCAUUUAAAAAACACAUUGGUGCGUAUAUUUUGCCCGUUCUACAGUCUUUACGGCGCCUACCCAGAUCCAUGCUUCAAGGUACCCAAGUGAAGCAUACCCUGAAGCAUAGAAAACACACACGGGAAAGAACCCAGGAAAACCCCUGAACACGAACAUCAGAAUCAACAAGAGGUCGGCUAACCGGAGGUUAGGGAGGAUGUGCUGCUUCGUGCGUCAUUAGCGCUAGAACUGAGGAAGUCGUCGAAAGCCUCCAGGUCUGACGUGUCGGUCACCAGCAGCUGAUCCAGACUCCCAGAGCACAAACCUGGCCGCCGCUGACCUCUUCAGCACAGAAGGACGCACAAACACAGAUGUGUUAGCAAUACCACAACUUUGAUGGGCUUUGUCUCUUAGUCUGUAACUUGAGCAUUACGACCCACUUCCCAGGCGAGUUCUUGGUCUGAACCUCCCCCUGGACAGGUAGCGCUGCAUGUCGUGUUUGACCUCGUGGAUCUUCUGCUGCUCCUUCAGCUUGAGCUUCCAGCCUGCUCCAGCUCUUCCACCUUCUGGGCGUGGUCCGAGUCCAGCUCCUCUGGAAGAACAUGACAACCGUUUAAAGUUGGUUCCGGACACAAUGCUGCCAGACGUCUUCUCUCCAGUUAAAAAUGUUGCAUCUGUUAUUAUUUAUACCGCUGAAACGUGUUGAAUACAUCUUGGUCUUUAUUUUUUGGUUUACAUAUUUUGUCACACGGAUAUUUCAGCAAAUUUGUAUCUUUUUUACAUUUUUUAUAUUAUUAACAUACUGCAUCACAUGAAAUUUACAUACCACCACGAUAUCAACAUCCCGCCUCACAUGACCUUUAUCACCUGUACACGGUUCUCAUCUCUUUCCCCCCCCCCCCAUGCCCUCUAGCAAACACAUGCUUUAAGAAAUACUUUUUAGUCAUUAAAAUGAGCCACGUUUGAAAAAAAAAGAAAUGUAAUUAAUUUAUAAAUAUGUUUUUUUCAAGGUGUUCCUUUUUAUUUGUUGAUUAGAAUUAUAAUGGAUUAUACUUUGUGAUCGACGGUGGGGAUAUCAUCCUCUGACCGGUGUGGAGGAGAGAAGGUCAGCUCUCGCAGACAAUAAAAGCUUAUUUUUAAACACAUCCUUAACAUUGGAUCAUUAUCGAAAUGCAUUUACACGAUUCAUCCUGAUUGCUCAUGCCAACUAGUAACUAAUGACAAAGAGGUUGAAGUAUUCCUGAUGAAACAGCCGCAGUCACAUUGGGAAGCUACUGAAUACGCACGCAAACACACAGUCACACACACACACGCCCACACACACGGACCCGUGCACGUGCGCGGUGCACCUGGUGUUCUCCGAUGAAUGAUUCACCCGGUCGGUAAGGGUGCUAUCAAGAUGAGCACAGAUAAGGAGAAGCGUCCUCGGUCUCCCCACAGAGUCUGGUGUUAUCUCUGCACCUGCCCCAGGUGUCUGCCCCGGGGCAGAAGAGUUCUCUCUCUGCUGCCCCGGGGCAGAAGAGUUCUCUCUCUGCUGGCCCCUGGUGUAGAACGAGUGCGACGAAGAGUCCUCUCUCUCUGCUGCCCCCUGGUGUUUUACUGGGGGCAGUAGAGUCCUCUCUCUCUGCUGCCCCCUGGUGUUUUACUGGGGGCAGUAGAGUCCUCUCUCUGCUGCCCCCUGGGGUCUCAACGGGGGCAUUAAAGUCCUCUCUCUGCUGCCCCCUGGUGUCUCACUGUGGGCAGUAGAGUCCUCUCUCUUCUGCCCCCUGGUGUCUCAACGGGGGCAUUAAAGUCCUCUCUCUGCUGCCCCCUGGUGUCUCACUGUGGGCAGUAGAGUCCUCUCUCUUCUGCCCCCUGGUGUCUCACUGGGGGCAGUAGAGACACCACCUCUCUCCUCACCAGAGCCCUAGUGUGGUGUUAUCUCUGCAGCAGCGUUCUUCAUCUUGAUUCGACGCUACGUGCCCCUGUGCCUCACCGUCCCUCCCCGUGGACGAGGCGUUGAGAGCAUUCCAACGUCCCGCUGAGGAGCGGCGGGCGCUUCUCGACCAUCGGACCACUGUUUGGGGUCAACGGGGGGCAGACUUUAUGUCCACGUGGGGUCCUGCAGUCCAAAAACAAAACUAAACCCUUCGUCACAGAUGAAGGCCUGUGCCGUGCGCGACCAAUCAGCGGUCACUCCCCGCGUUCCUCCGCAGAGACGGGCGACGCCCCCGCGCUCGCUCUAAGGUCCGCGAGCAGCAAAGGGGCGUGGUCACGUCUCUGCGCAGGAACGUGGGUCUUCUUGUGUCGGGCAGGGUGGGCUUCAGAGGGCCGACACCCGGACCAUGCUGUCCAGGGGGCAGCCGUGGGGCGGGGCCCGGGGCGAGGCCUGGGGCGUGGCCUGGGCGUGGCCUGUGGCGUGGCGGGUUCCUCGCCGCAGGUCAGAGGAACCGUCUCCUGGAACGGAGCGUUCAGACUGGAGCGGCUAGGAGACGAGGGAGCGGAGGGAGAAAGGGUUCAAACCAAACAGGUGAAUGCUGCUCAUCAGCCAAUCAGGAGGAAGAUAGGAGAGCAAGAAGGAAGACAAGGGCGCCAUCAUCAGGGCUACACCAGACGUUGUGUUGGUGUGUUCAGGGAGGCUGUACCUGCUGUGGACCGGUGCGGCCUGAUCUCGUGAGGGAUGUGUGGCUGGUUUCAUGUUUCAUGUUUAACAACAGAGAGUUUCGAACCAUCUCUUUGUCCUUGUAAUCUCUGCUUCAGCAGUCGUACAAAUAAGCUCAAUCCCUCACUAGCUCAGAGUCUCUUCCUCCAGGUUUGAAGUGAAGUGCACGUGAGUGUGCAUGUGGGCGCGUACACCAACGUGCGUGUGAGUUUGUGUGUGAGCGUGAGAUUGCGUGUGUGUGCGUGAGAUUGUGUGUGUGUGCGUGCG